rnacentral:rRNA from 1 species
CAGUGGCUGCCCAUCGUUUACUGUGAAAAAAUUAGAGUGUUCAAAGCAGGCUUAUGCCGUUGAAUAUAUUAGCAUGGAAUAAUAAGAUAGGACCUUGGUACUAUUUUGUUGGUUUGCGCACCGAGGUAAUGAUUAAGAGGGACAGUUGGGGGUAUUCGUAUUCAAUUGUCAGAGGUGAAAUUCUUGGAUUUCUGGAAGACGAACUACUGCGAAAGCAUUUACCAAGGAUGUUUUCAUUAAU